GAUGAACGCUGGCGGCGUGCCUAAUACAUGCAAGUCGAGCGAACGGACGAGAAGCUUGCUUUUCUGAUGUUAGCGGCGGACGGGUGAGUAACACGUGGAUAACCUACCUAUAAGACUGGGAUAACUUCGGGAAACCGGAGCUAAUACCGGAUAAUAUUUUGAACCGCAUGGUUCAAAAGUGAAAGACGGUCUUGCUGUCACUUAUAGAUGGAUCCGCGCUGCAUUAGCUAGUUGGUAAGGUAACGGCUUACCAAGGCAACGAUGCAUAGCCGACCUGAGAGGGUGAUCGGCCACACUGGAACUGAGACACGGUCCAGACUCCUACGGGAGGCAGCAGUAGGGAAUCUUCCGCAAUGGGCGAAAGCCUGACGGAGCAACGCCGCGUGAGUGAUGAAGGUCUUCGGAUCGUAAAACUCUGUUAUUAGGGAAGAACAUAUGUUUAAGUAACUGUGCACGUCUUGACGGUACCUAAUCAGAAAGCCACGGCUAACUACGUG
rnacentral:rRNA from 1 species